GGCAACAAUAAUCAAACCCAAAAUCUAACACAAUAACAUUACUGAGAAAGGCAAAAGUAAUCUAUGUCGACAGUUCUAGCAAGUCCCAUCAUUCAAAUUAAUAAGUUAGUCAAAGAACCCAUAGCGCACAUGCAAUUUGCAUAGAUAUGGUCAAGCAAUCAGCAUCAGCCAUUCAAAAGCAAUACCAUUGGCACUGAUUAGAGCGAAAAGAAGAAAAGUAGCAUGAAGCAAAUACACGGAUAUAAAAUCUCUUUCUUGCAGAUAUGAGAGUAGUACAUAGAAAACUACACACGUUUUCUACUAUUUAUCAUUGUCGUGCACGUAACUGAACAAUUUCAAGCAGCAAGUAGCUUCUUCUGUAUGAUUUUUGCACUUAAACGUGUAGAACCACUUUGGCAAAAUUUCCUUCCAUAAAGAAGUAAUCUGAUAUGAAUUAAUAUUGGUGAAAUCUACAAAAAAAUAGGUCCUACGUAUAGUGGUAUAGUUAUAGUUGUCCUCAAGAGUCAGUAAAUAGGCAUAGCCGCAUAGAUGUUGAUAUAGCGAUAAUUGUCCUCCAGAGUUGGAAACCUGUGAAUCAAAAUGCUUUCGUAGUGAUAUGAAUCGGCACUAGUAACAACGAACACAAAUCAAUACAUUUCUGUGAAUCAAUUUUAUAGAGAAAUUGCGCAAUUAGUUUUUGUUAGACUUGAAUAGUAACUUCGUGGAGUGAAUAAAGACCAGAGAAAGAGCGAAGCAGCAAUAAGCUUCUCUUUGAGGCCAUGCCAUUGCAGAGAAAACAUUCUGGUUCCGAAUGCAGAACAAGCUUUCUUCUUUUGUUCACUUCCCCAUUAUGGUCCUCCACGUUUUGUAGCAACAAACGGCCACCAUCCUCGUUGUUCCAAUAUCAUUCAUUUUCCGCAUC
rnacentral:lncRNA from 1 species